rnacentral:rRNA from 1 species
GACGUGGGACGGAAGGUCUGAUGGAGCACGCCGCGUGAGUGAAGAAGGGUUUCGGCUCGUAAAACUCUGUUGUUAAAGAAGAACAUAUCUGAGAGUAACUGUUCAGGUAUUGACGGUAUUUAACCAGAAAGCCACGGCUAACUACGUGCCAGCAGCCGCGGUAAUACGUAGGUGGCAAGCGUUGUCCGGAUUUAUUGGGCGUAAAGCGAGCGCAGGCGGUUUUUUAAGUCUGAUGUGAAAGCCUUCGGCUCAACCGAAGAAGUGCAUCGGAAACUGGGAAACUUGAGUGCAGAAGAGGACAGUGGAACUCCAUGUGUAGCGGUGAAAUGCGUAGAUAUAUGGAAGAACACCAGUGGCGAAGGCGGCUGUCUGGUCUGUAACUGACGCUGAGGCUCGAAAGUAUGGGUAGCAAACAGGAUUAGAUACCCGGGUUAGUCCGAA